AGCAGCCGCCGCGGUAAUACGUAGGUGGCAAGCGUUGUCCGGAAUUAUUGGGCGUAAAGGGCUCGCAGGCGGUUUCUUAAGUCUGAUGUGAAAGCCCCCGGCUCAACCGGGGAGGGUCAUUGGAAACUGGGAAACUUGAGUGCAGAAGAGGAGAGUGGAAUUCCACGUGUAGCGGUGAAAUGCAUAGAGAUGUGGAGGAACACCAGUGGCGAAGGCGACUCUCUGGUCUGUAACUGACGCUGAGGAGCGAAAGCGUGGGGAGCGAACAGGAUUAGAUACCCCUGUAGUCCCUGUCUCUUAUAC
rnacentral:rRNA from 1 species